AAUAGAUACCCUGGUAGUCCAUGCCGUAAACGUUGGGCACUAGGUGUGGGGGACAUUCCACGUUUUCCGCGCCGUAGCUAACGCAUUAAGUGCCCCGCCUGGGGAGUACGGCCGCAAGGCUAAAACUCAAAGGAAUUGACGGGGGCCCGCACAAGCGGCGGAGCAUGCGGAUUAAUUCGAUGCAACGCGAAGAACCUUACCAAGGCUUGACAUGUUCCAGACCGCCUCAGAGAUGGGGUUUCCCUUUGGGGCUGGUUCACAGGUGGUGCAUGGUUGUCGUCAGCUCGUGUCGUGAGAUGUUGGGUUAAGUCCCGCAACGAGCGCAACCCUCGUUCCAUGUUGCCAGCACGUAGUGGUGGGGACUCAUGGGAGACUGCCGGGGUCAACUCGGAGGAAGGUGGGGAUGACGUCAAAUCAUCAUGCCCCUUAUGUCUUGGGCUUCACGCAUGCUACAAUGGCCGGUACAAUGGGUUGCGAUACUGUGAGGUGGAGCUAAUCCCUAAAAGCCGGUCUCAGUUCGGAUUGGGGUCUGCAACUCCG
rnacentral:rRNA from 1 species